UACGGAGGGUGCAAGCGUUAUCCGGAUUUACUGGGUUUAAAGGGUGCGUAGGUGGAUAAGUAAGUCAGUGGUGAAAUCUUCGGGCUUAACCCGGAAACUGCCAUUGAUACUAUUUGUCUUGAAUACUUUGGAGGUAAGCGGAAUAUGUCAUGUAGCGGUGAAAUGCUUAGAUAUGACAUAGAACACCAAUUGCGAAGGCAGCUACUACACAGUAAUUGACACUGAGGCACGAAAGCGUGGGGAUCAAACAGG
rnacentral:rRNA from 1 species